rnacentral:tRNA from 4 species
CUGCCGGUAGCUCAGCUGGAUAGAGCAACAGCCUUCUAAGCUGUGGGUCGGGGGUUCGAAUCCCUCUCGGCAGGCCA